UAGCCGAUGUGGAUAUCAGAUUAUAAAAGAACACCAUCUUUCGGGACUGAUUGACUUCUUUUGAAGUUUUGCUGAUACUUCUGCAAUUCUGAGGCUU
rfam:Arabidopsis thaliana chromosome 2, complete sequence.